GUGUUUUUGCACUUUCAUCAUCAUUUGGUACUGUACCAGCAAACAAAUGCUGUCACUGCUCUUUGCUUAGCUUCUAUGAUGAAAGCCAACAAGCCAGAAUAGAGUUAUUUUUACUUCUAUAUGAUCAAAGUAGGGUUUCUCAUUUCUCAGAUUAUCUUGUGAAUCCUUUUUGCUGUCCUGGGUCACAACUCACCGAGUACAGUAUGAUUGUAUGAAUGGACUGAUCCAUGACUUAAAGUAAAACUUGGCCACAAAAUGUGUUUGCAAGGAUAUUUGGAGUUGGGCUGAAGACUACAUAAGAGAGUUGAAUAUAUACUGUUCUAACUUGGAGCUUUCAUGACUGCAUUGUAAUACAAUAAUUGGUUCUCUGUGCCUGUCUCCUAACAGUUCCUUCUGUUUACAGUCGAAAUAACCAAAGAACUAUUUGUCGGCAACUCCUUUUCUUUUUCUUUCUUUCUUUUCUUUUUUUUUCUUUCAUCUGAAAUGAAGCACCAUUUUUUUUCAUGCAACAACAGUUUUUGUGUCACCGUGACACUCCAUGGUCAUCCUUUCUUUUUGUUUCCUGCAUGCUUUCAGUUUUCGUUAAUAUUAUCGGUUUCAUUUGCUAAACCUAAGUUUAUGCUAAUGCUUCUUAUACCUUUAGUUGGAAGAAGCUUUUCUGGUCUUUAUUGAUGCAAUGAAUGUUGAAAAGUUAUGCAUCACGCCUAGAAUAGUCUUCACGGAAUAUUUGACACAGUGAAAAAGUAGAACUCACGAAGAGUUGUGUACUGAUGGAAGUAUUUACUCCAUGAGGUAUUGAACAAAAAGCCAUUAGUUCUUACUUUUAGACUUUUCUGAUCAAGACUGAACUAUAACUAAUCCAUUGUCUUCAUUAAGUUGGCAUCUAACAUUUUUAUCUGUAACCCUAUACUUGAUGGUAUAAUGUACCUUAUUUUAGUUGGUCAGUUUCAGGCAGCUGUCUUGUCAAAGGAUCUGUCUGCUGCUUAAUUGAAACAUCUUGUUCAUUCUGAUCUGGAUUUCUAGUAUUUUUAUAGUGAUCUAACAAUAACAGUCCUACCCCCCUGCUAUUGGAACAGUUAAGCCUUCAUUAUCGAUCGCUACAAUGUGGUAAUGGCCUGUUUUCUUUCUUGCUUUUUAAUUUGGAGAAACUGUUGCACUUAAGGUACCCAAAAAAUCGUUGUAGGAGAACUAGUUCAUUUGAACUUAGUCACUCACCUCCUAAUGGGUCUGCAUGUAUUUGAUUGCAUUAGAGAUUAGACCUUGCUACCUCCUUAUGGAGUCUCCAUGGAUAUAAUUGCUACCUUUGUCUUGGACCUCUUGGCAGUGAGGGCAUCUCUCAGCCAUCCAGCCUUAGAAAUGUGACGUAUUCUAUAGAGCAUUGCUCUGUUCAUUUUGUGCUUAAGAAGAUAUUUUGUUUCUUUUUGUAA
rnacentral:lncRNA from 1 species